rnacentral:rRNA from 1 species
GAUGAACGCUGGCGGCGUGCCUAACACAUGCAAGUCGAGCGGCAGCGAGGGGUGCUUGCACCCUGUCGGCGAGCGGCGGACGGCUGAGUAACGCGUGGGAACGUGCCCCAAAGUGAGGAAUAACUGCCCGAAAGGGUAGCUAAUACCGCAUAUUAUCUUCGGAUCAAAGGAUUUAUCCGCUUUGGGAGCGGCUCGCGUCGGAUUAGGUAGUUGGUGAGGUAAUGGCUCACCAAGCCGACGAUCCGUAGCUGGUCUGAGAGGAUGACCACCCAGACUGGAACUGAGACACGGUCCAGACUCCUACGGGAGGCAGCAGUGAGGAAUCUUCCACAAUGGGCGAAAGCCUGAUGGAGCAACGCCGCGUGCAGGACGAAGGCCUUCGGGUUGUAAACUGCUUUUAUAAGUGAGGAAUAUGACGGUAACUUAUGAAUAAGGAUCGGCUAACUACGUG